AGAGUUUGAUCCUGGCUCAGAACGUACGCUGGCGGCACGCCUAACACAUGCAAGUCGAACGAAGUAGCAAUACUUAGUGGCAGACGGGUGAGUAACAUGUAGGUAUCUGCCCUUUGGCCUGGAAUAACACGAGGAAACUUGUGCUAAUACCGGAUAAGUCUUUACGGAGAAAGCUUUAUGCACCAUUGGAUGAGCCUGCACUUGAUUAGUUUGUUGGUGGGGUAAUGGCCUACCAAGACUGUGAUCAAUAGCUGAUUUGAGAGGAUGAUCAGCCACAUUGGGACUGAGACACGGCCCAAACUCCUACGGGAGGCAGCAGUGGGGAAUCUUGCACAAUGGAGGAAACUCUGAUGCAGCGAUGCCGCGUGAGUGAAGAAGGCCCUUGGGUUGUAAAGCUCUUUCGUCGGGGAAGAAAAUGACUGUACCCGAAUAAGAAGGUCCGGCUAACUUCGUGCCAGCAGCCGCGGUAAUACGAAGGGACCUAGCGUAGUUCGGAAUUACUGGGCUUAAAGAGUUCGUAGGUGGUUGAAAAAGUUAGUGGUGAAAUCCCAGAGCUUAACUCUGGAACUGCCAUUAAAACUUUUCAGCUAGAGUAUGAUAGAGGAAAGCAGAAUUUCUAGUGUAGAGGUGAAAUUCGUAGAUAUUAGAAAGAAUACCAAUUGCGAAGGCAGCUUUCUGGAUCAUUACUGACACUGAGGAACGAAAGCAUGGGUAGCGAAGAGGAUUAGAUACCCUCGUAGUCCAUGCCGUAAACGAUGUGUGUUAGACGUUGGAAAUUUAUUUUCAGUGUCGCAGGGAAACCGAUAAACACACCGCCUGGGGAGUACGACCGCAAGGUUAAAACUCAAAUGAAUUGACGGGGACCCGCACAAGUAGUGGAGCAUGUGGUUUAAUUCGAAGAUACGCGCAGAACCUUACCAACACUUGACAUGUUCGUCGCGACUCUAAGAGAUUAGAGUUUUCGGUUCGGCCGGACGAAACACAGGUGCUGCAUGGCUGUCGUCAGCUCGUGUCGUGAGAUGUUGGGUUAAGUCCCGCAACGAGCGCAACCCUCACUUUUAGUUGCCAUCAUUAAGUUGGGCACUCUGAAAGAACUGCCAGUGAUAAGCUGGAGGAAGGUGGGGAUGACGUCAAGUCCUCAUGGCCCUUACGUGUUGGGCUACACACGUGCUACAAUGGUAUCUACAACAGGAAGCAAGACUGCGAAGUUAAGCAAAUCCCUAAAAGAUACCUCAGUUCGGAUUGCACUCUGCAACUCGAGUGCAUGAAGCUGGAAUUACUAGUAAUCGUGGAUCAGCGUGCCACGGUGAAUGCGUUCCCGGGUCUUGUACACACCGCCCGUCACACCAUGGGAGUUGGUUCUACCUUAAGGCAAGGUUUCAAACCCUUGACCACGGUAUAGUCAGCGACUGGGGUGAAGUCAUAACAAGGUAGCCGUA
rnacentral:rRNA from 1 species